rfam:Gossypium hirsutum cultivar TM-1 unplaced genomic scaffold scaffold42.1, whole genome shotgun sequence
UGUUAAAACUUUUAUCUAUUUUUAUUGUAAAAAAUUGGUGUGACUGACAAACGUGACCUGUUACGUCUACUUCAUUUUGACAUAUAGAAACUAAUUUUUAAUAGUAGAAUUGGAUGGAAUUUUUAACA